rnacentral:rRNA from 1 species
AGAUGGCCUCAUUUAAGAAGGACUUAAAUCGUUAAUUUCUCAUACUAGAAUAUUGAUGUUCCAUACACUGCAUCUCACAUUUGCCAUAUAGACAAAGUGACUUAGUGCUGAACUGAUUUCUUUUCGCUCGCCGCUACUAAGA